UCUUCACAUGGCACAUCACUGUGACAUACAGAUGCAGCAGCUUGUUCCUUCCAUGGUGAGACUUCCUCGGAGACUGUCUUCACUGGGCUUUCAGGCAUGCUGUAGCGGGCCAGUGAGUGUUGCCCCAUCCCCCAGAGGAGGUCAUUAGUAGAACAGGGAGUUGAACUCCAUACAGGUUUCUGCAUCCUGUUCUUCCCUCUCGCUGCUACAGAGAGAGCUCUGGGCUGAGGAGCAUCCAACCCAUGUGAAUGCACCUCAACACCAGGAAGAUGCAGACGAAUCAUAGAGAAUCUGGAGAAGCACAGCUAGCAUGAUUAAAGGGCUGAAGGAUUGACUUAUUAGGGAAGAUUAAAGAAGCUAAAUAUGGCGAGUUGCAUGGCCAUUGCACAGAGCAUGUGCUGAGCUGCCAGAAAUUCAGCCUGUUGAGAAACUUACUAUAAAGACAGCGUGAAAUGGAGG